UUAAAUUGAAGAGUUUGAUCAUGGCUCAGAUUGAACGCUGGCGGCAGGCCUAACACAUGCAAGUCGAACGGUAACAGGAAGAAGCUUGCUUCUUUGCUGACGAGUGGCGGACGGGUGAGUAAUGUCUGGGAACCUGCCUGAUGGAGGGGGAUAACUACUGGAAACGGUAGCUAAUACCGCAUAACGUCGCAAGAGCAAAGGGGGGGACCUUCGGGCCUCUUUCCAUCGGAUGGGCCCAGAUGGGAUUAGAGAGUAGGUGGGGUAACGGCUCACCUA
rnacentral:rRNA from 1 species